AGAUGUAGUGAUAUAGUUUAACAUUAUAGUACAGCAAUAUAUUUGAUAUUGUAUGUGAUAAUAUAGUUUAGUCUGAGUAUAGUGUAAUAUACAAUAUUUAAUCUCAAUAUCAACUGAAAUAAUGACCGUUUUAAAACUGUUAGUUUAUUAGUUUAGCUAAUAUUGCCAUUUUUCUUCAUUUUCCAUCAUAUUUCCACACAAAACUAUUCCAAACAAAAUAUUUAAUAAAUUACACUACAACAGCUGACUGACAGAUAGUGAACCUCGGGCCUUUGGGGUCCCUGGUGGGUCUGGGGCCCCGGGUCUGGGGCCCCGGGUCAGGUACCGUGGCACACCAGCUUCACUCCCACCUCCUCCAAGAUGGCCCUGGUUGCCUUCAUGGACUGGCAACUGUGUCGUAAUUACGACUGACCGCACAUGAGCACCCCAACAAAGUGGUAAAUAUGGCUGCGGUAGUCGUGACUUUAUAUGCUAACACUACCGAAGUUGCUGAAAUGCUUUACAGGUUCCUUUGAUGCAGUUAAUUACUGGAAGAAAUGCCUUCACUUCUUCCAAAGUUACCAUGGCGUGUACUCAUCAGGAACGAGCAGGAUGAAUAUACAUUAGCAACAUGAUGUAUGUGUAUUAUAUGGUAAUGUCACUUUGUUACAGCCUGUUGCAAUCUGUAUUUACAUCUGGACUUUAAGUAAAAUUGCCCAAGAAAUAGAUACAUAUUCAUUUAUUGUGGUGUAAAGAAAAUCACAAGAUAAUUUUAAAUGGCCUACCUGUAAACCUAAUUUAUCUAUUCACACAAAUAAAUAAAUAAUUAUAAUUAAACUUGCAUGGCUCACUGGUAUAAUCCUUUCAUGAAGAAAUGGUGGUAGGCCAGUUUCUUCUUUGGUGCAGUGUAUUCCUGUGGAGACAGGAAAAAAGGAAUCUCCCAAAAACAGAAAUCACAGCCAAACUCUCCUCCAGACUUUUUAUGACCUUGUAUUUCUUCAUCAGUCUGACAGUCCACUGGCUUUGUGAGGGAGCUGUCGUGACUUUUAGUACCUUGAGUCAUUUGCUCAGUCGAAGUAAAGGGAUCGAUAAAACACCCUGGUGCUGGGCUGUGGCCAGAUUUGUCACAUUUUUAUUCACGGGAUGCUGCAGUGUCCUUGUAAAGGAAUAAAGUUAUUCUAAACUAAGA